ACAAUUUCAGAUUUGUACGUGCAGAGGUGCGCUUAGUAACGAUAGUUCUUGGCUUCAUUUACCGGAACAUCGUUAGGUCCUUACAUGAUCCUUAUUUGAUCAAAUUGCUGGUUAGUACUUUUACAGGAACAUGGAAACCAAAAUAUGUGCUCUGUAUCCAUUCUUAUCAUGUGUGUGCUCUCAAAAUCAAGCUUCAUGCUACAACGGCCAAUAUAACUUAAACCAACAAUCAUCUAAAGUUCUGAAGAUGCCUCACCAUGCAGUAUGUGUAGCUAACUGAAGAUAAAUUAAUGAUUUAUGUUCAUGUAUCCUUUUAAUACUGGUUCUUUUUUUCUGUUGAUGUUAUGCAAGCUGGAUUCAGCAGUUUUCUAUGGAUAAAAGUCAAUUGACAUGUCAAUAUACGCGAGCAUGUCUUUGCGUUUAGGAGUUGAGAAGACUUUGAGUGCACGCCAAGGGAAAGGUGAAUCAGUUGAUGUAGGUGAAUUUUCUUGAAAUGAAAGUGU
rnacentral:lncRNA from 1 species